AUUGAACGCUGGCGGCAGGCUUAACACAUGCAAGUCGAGCGGUAGCACAGGGGAGCUUGCUCCCUGGGUGACGAGCGGCGGACGGGUGAGUAAUGUCUGGGAAACUGCCUGAUGGAGGGGGAUAACUACUGGAAACGGUAGCUAAUACCGCAUAACGUCGCAAGACCAAAGAGGGGGACCUUCGGGCCUCUUGCCCUCAGAUGUGCCCAGAUGGGAUUAGCUAGUAGGUGGGGUAAUGGCUCACCUAGGCGACGAUCCCUAGCUGGUCUGAGAGGAUGACCAGCCACACUGGAACUGAGACACGGUCCAGACUCCUACGGGAGGCAGCAGUGGGGAAUAUUGCACAAUGGGCGCAAGCCUGAUGCAGCCAUGCCGCGUGUGUGAAGAAGGCCUUCGGGUUGUAAAGCACUUUCAGCGAGGAGGAAGGUGGUGAACUUAAUACGUUCAUCAAUUGACGUUACUCGCAGAAGAAGCACCGGCUAACUCCGUG
rnacentral:rRNA from 1 species